AAUAGACAUAAGUAUCAGAAAAAUAAGCUCUGAUAAAAUGAUACAAUGUGUUCCAAAUUAUAUGCCCCAUAUCACAAUCUGUAGUAAGGCCAUAAUUAUUAAACGUAGCUGGGCCACCAAUCUUUUCCCAUCACAAGUCAGGGAAGCAAAGAAGCAAUUUAAGAUAAUAUACUAAAAAAAAAUAGAGGGCAUACCACUACAACUUUGGCAGAGCCAUCAACUGAUGUAUGCAAACUGACAUGCUUGCAGCUAACUCUUUUGUCAGAUAUAGCAAGGUUAUUGCAGCCAAUAACAUUACCUCCUUGAAAAAUUAGUAUAUUCGAGAAUAACAAUUUUGAAUGGAAUGCAAGCCAACAAUAAAUAUUUUAAGCAAAGAAUUGGUUUGUCCGAUCUUGUUCCAUCAAUGUAAUCAAGCAACAAGAAAAGGAAGAAAAAUAAGUCUAUUUUCUAUAUUUAUUUAUCAAUAUUAUAUUAGACUACUGAAGUUAAAAAUAAUUCUAAAUUGAUCUACUUAAAAUAAAUUUAGCCCUUACCUCAUCCAAACAUGCAUUUUGGAGUCCGAAGAUGUGAAAGCAGAUGAUGCCAUAAUUUUAUAUUAUUCCAAGACCUAAACUGCACAUCAUUUGCCAUAUCAAAAUUAUCAAGAUUCAAAUAAAUCAUGACAAUCCUGCAAAUGAUAUAUAUCAUAGCCAAAUAUAGGAGAACAGAUAUGCCAGCAACCUCCAAAUUUGAUCAAAUCUCAGUCCAAACAAAACAAACAUGAUCGAAUUCACUAAUCCAACAUCAUCAUGACCAUGAAAAUCUAACCAAAAGAUUCUCACAUUUCCAUAACAAAAAGUCAAGCACUCCAACAAUAGCAUCACAUGAAAUACUAGUGUCUAAAACCUGAUGCACCAAUGCCCUAGUCAAGGAGGCUAAACACGUACUACCUCUUUAACUGUGGUGGAAGGGAGAAGAAUACUAUACUCUUGUUAGGCUCUGCUGGAGAAUAUCAGCCAUCUUUAUCACUUCACCACUAGUCAAUACCUCUAAUAUAAGUAGCUCCUCCACUACUCUCGCCGUAUUCUUCUCAGCCAUCUCUUACUCACGUGCCAUUGCUUCAGCUAUGGUACCAAAAUGCAUAUCCAUGUGCAACAUAAAUAUCUCGAGGGUCGUAGAUAUGGCCUCUAAAGUCUCCUUCAUAGGAUCGGAUUCUCUCGUCAUCCUUGCUUCCUUCUGUUGGAUAACUUUCUGCUUCUUUGCCUUUCUCGAACUGCUACUGGUUGUCUUCUCUAUCGAAGGAGGCUGUGUAACCAAGUGGCCUCCAUCAUCCUCAUCCAUGCUAAGGUCCACUGAAUCUUUAUCACUCAAAAUAGCUGCCUCCUCUCUCUCUAUAUUUUUAAUAGCCUCUGCAAAUGUUUCAGCAUCCUUUUCUAUCGUCCUGUCCUUCCCAUUGAUCUCUUCAAGUACAUCUAGAUGAGAAAAAGCUACUUUCCACAAAUCUUUGGCAGACUCAUGCACCUGUCAUUAGAAAAUCAUAUAUAUUAAGAGAUGAACAAUAAACAAAAUAUUAUUUGAGUUACAAAAUUAAUAUUUAUAAAAUGUACCUUGCACCACUCCAUGCACCAUAUUUUAUCAUAAGAGAUUAUCUUCUUUUCAUCAUUUCAUGUGCAUCCUGUUUGUGAUAAUAUCUCUACAAUAGCACUAUACUUUUGCUUUAGAUAUUUUAUCCUGGAUUCAACAUGUGGAGUAUCCUUCAAACCACAAUC
rnacentral:lncRNA from 1 species